rnacentral:misc_RNA from 1 species
UCUCCGUAGGUGAACCUGCGGAGGGAUCAUUACCGAGCUCAUGCCCUUACGGGUAGAUCUCCCACCCUGUGUUAUUAUUACCUUUGUUGCUUUGGCGGGCUGCCAGGCUCCGGUCAGGCUAUCGGCUUCGGCUGGUAAGCGCCCGCCAGAGGACCCUAUAUCCUGAUUAUUAGUGUCGUCUGAGUACUAUAUAAUAGUUAAAACUUUCAACAACGGAUCUCUUGGUUCUG